UACGUAGGAGGCGAGCGUUGUCCGGAUUUACUGGGCGUAAAGAGCGCGUAGGCGGCCAGAUAAGUCCGGUGUGAAAGUCAAAGGCUCAACCUUUGAAUGCCGCUGGAAACUGUCUGGCUAGAGUCCGGGAGGGGCUGGUGGAAUGCCUGGUGUAGUGGUGAAAUGCGUAGAGAUCAGGCGGAACACCCGUGGCGAAGGCGGCCAGCUGGGCCGUCCCUGACGCUGAGGCGCGAAAGCUAGGGGAGCGAACGGG
rnacentral:rRNA from 1 species